rnacentral:rRNA from 1 species
UGGGGAAUAUUGCACAAUGGGGGAAACCCUGAUGCAGCGACGCCGCGUGAGCGAAGAAGGUUUUCGAAUCGUAAAGCUCUGUCCUAUGAGAAGAUAAUGACGGUAUCAUAGGAGGAAGCCCCGGCUAAAUACGUGCCAGCAGCCGCGGUAAUACGUAUGGGGCGAGCGUUGUCCGGAAUUAUUGGGCGUAAAGCGCUCGUAGGCGGUCUGUUAGGUCGGCAAGUUAAAUCCGGGGGCUCAACCCCCGUCCGCUUCCGAUACCGGCAGACUUGAGUUUGGUAGGGGAAGGUGGAAUUCCUAGUGUAGCGGUGGAAUGCGCAGAUAUUAGGAAGAACACCGGUGGCGAAGGCGGCCUUCUGGGCCAUAACUGACGCUGAGGAGCGAAAGCUAGGGGAGCGAACAGG